AUUUAAUGAUCAGUGGGCGGAGCCUGGAGAGUCAGGUGACCUCCAGGAGCAGGGUUGGUGACCCUGAUUUAAAGGAUUAAAUCCACUUGAACAGAUUUUCACCAGAAUCUUCAAACUUGAAAAAGCCAAAAGUUGUUGUUUCCUGCUGAUCAGCACAGUUAGAGGUGAUCAAUAAUCAAUGAUCCAUUUGGAGCGAUGAGUGUGUUGGAAGAGAAGAACUAAAGUGUGUGGAUGAGAUCAAUGUCAUGUUGAUGUUUCCAUGAUUAAAGCCCAUGUGUUGCUCCGCCCCCUCCUCCUUUCAGGGUGGAUCCUGGUGGAGUCCGAUGGCUGAGACCAGGUCUGAGGAAGUAUUUCUGUGAACUCUCUCUGGAUCCAAACUCAGCGAACAGAAAACUCAAACUGUCCAACAACAACACAAAGGUGGAACAUGUGGACGAGGAUCAAUCAUAUCCUGAUCAUCCAGACCGAUUUGACCUUUGCCCUCAGGUCCUGAGUACAACUGGUCUGACUGGUCGCUGUUACUGGGAGGUCGAGUGGAGACGAGACGUUUAUAUAUCAGUGACUUACAGAAGAAUCAGAAGGAAAGGAGACAGAUUGGACUGUGUGUUUGGACGUAAUGAUCAGUCCUGGAGUCUGAUCUGCUCUGAUGGUUGUUGUUACUCUGUCUGUCACAAUAACAGA